GCCAUAACGGAAAAUUGAGCACAUCUAAGCUACAAAAGGAAAACUCGAGGCAUACCAUCACCAAGGAUGAAGUGAUAAAAAAAGAAUUGCCAUUUCUAAACUCUUUAGAAAAUAUGACCUAGACCAAGCAAAAUGGAGUAAAUGGGAUUGAGGCUAAAUAGAGUUGACUUGCAGUGAUUGAUUUUAGUGAUGUCGAACAAACAAAAGGGAAGAAACUUCUU
rnacentral:misc_RNA from 1 species